AACGGCCGCGGUAUACUGACCGUGCAAAGGUAGCAUAAUCAUUAGUCUUUUAAAAGAGGGCUGGAAUGAAGGGUUUGACGAAGUGUUAGCUGUCUCAUUUUAUUUGGUUUUUAGAAUUUAACUUUUUAGUCAAAAGGCUAAAAUUUAAUUGGAAGACGAGAAGACCCUAUAGAGCUUUAUAUUUAUUUUUUUGAUAAUUUUAUAUAAUUUAUUAUUAUGAGAAUAUAAUAUUUUGUUGGGGUGACAAAAAUAUAUAAUAAACUUUUUUAUUUAUAUAACAUUGAUAUAUGAUUAUUAGAUCCAUUAUUAUUGAUUGUUAGAUUAAGUUACCUUAGGGAUAACAGCGUAAUCCUCCCCCAGAGUUCAUAUUUACGGGUAGGGCUUGCGACCUCGAUGUUGGAUUAAGAUAAUACUUAGGUGUAGCCGCUUAAGGUAUAGGUCUGUUCGAC
rnacentral:rRNA from 1 species